GGCGGACGGGUGAGGAAUACAUCGGAAUCUACUCUGUCGUGGGGGAUAACGUAGGGAAACUUACGCUAAUACCGCAUACGACCUACGGGUGAAAGCAGGGGAUCUUCGGACCUUGCGCGAUUGAAUGAGCCGAUGUCGGAUUAGCUAGUUGGCGGGGUAAAGGCCCACCAAGGCGACGAUCCGUAGCUGGUCUGAGAGGAUGAUCAGCCACACUGGAACUGAGACACGGUCCAGACUCCUACGGGAGGCAGCAGCG
rnacentral:rRNA from 1 species